GACGAACGCUGGCGGCGUGCUUAACACAUGCAAGUCGAACGGAAAGGCCCUGCUGUGGGGGGGUGCUCGAGUGGCGAACGGGUGAGUAACACGUGAGUAACCUGCCCUUGACUUUGGGAUAACUUCAGGAAACUGAGGCUGAUACCGGAUAGGAGCUCCUACGGCAUGGGGGGGGUUGGAAAGUUUCGGCGGGUGGGGAUGGACGCGCGGCUUAUCAGCUUGUUGGUGGGGUAGUGGCUUACCAAGGCUUUGACGGGUAGCCGGCCUGAGAGGGUGACCGGCCACAUUGGGACUGAGAUACGGCCCAGACUCCUACGGGAGGCAGCAGUGGGGAAUAUUGCACAAUGGGCGGAAGCCUGAUGCAGCAACGCCGCGUGCGGGAUGACGGCCUUCGGGUUGUAAACCGCUUUCGCCUGUGACGAAGCGUGAGUGACGGUAAUGGGUAAAGAAGCACCGGCUAACUACGUG
rnacentral:rRNA from 1 species